UGAGGAAGGUUCUUACUUGACAACCUGGGUCAUCAGCAGGUGCCCACACACUGGCUCGGCAGGUGUAUAAAGCAGGGACCCUUCCUCUUUGGAAAUGCUUUUGUGGUGUGUUCACUCUCUCUCCUUAGCUCAGAGAACCGGCACCUGCAGUUCUCCUGGUGUGAGGAUGGGGCUCAUUCCAUCCUCAGAGUCCAGACAGGAAAGCAGAAACAUACUGGUUAUUUUAACAGAGGUAAUUGAAUUUAGGGGACGAGUUAGACAGACAGCAAGUGACUUAAAGGCAAAAAAACAAAAAAGGAAACUGGAGUCUUGUGGCUGCAGUCAAUGUAGGAAGAAGUGGCCUGCCCUAGGUCUGGGGGAACAAAGGACAGAGGGCACGAAGCCUGGCGGAGGAGCCUUGCUCGCUGGAGCCCAGCCCUGGAGGGAGCAGGUGCUGUCUGGACGCCACAGAGCUGGCACUCAGACUUCUGAAGAAAUGCUGCCGUGGGAGGGAGAACGAUGGGGCUGGUUAUAGAAAUGCGGAAAAAACUAGACACCGAAAUAAAAUACUCCUCAACAGGCGCUGCAGGGGAAGCCACAUUGCUUGGAUGCUGCUGACAUGAGCAGUGUGCAAAGAGAAGGGUCCAGUCCCCUGUCCCUCCUCCAGCCCUGCAGUGUCCCUCUGGCAGCACAUGGGCAGAGCUGGUCAGGGAGGCCUGGCAAAGAGGAAAGGUGGUGUGGCGUCCCCAGUGUUCCCAGCAUCACAGGGCUAAGUGUAGAAGGCUGCGUUUGGAGCUGAGAAGCUGUAGCUUAGUAAUCAGAACACUGUGCCUGGUGGUCACUUAUAUUUCCUUCCCCAGAACCCAGGCAUCAGGGUACUCUUUGGUCAAGGUCUUCUUGUCCCCGUCAGGGGCUCUCAUUGGCAGGGGUCAGUCUAACCCCAGUCUAACCCAUAUUUGCCUGUUGAUCCCUGGGGAAUAGUCACACAUCCUUGCCCUGGUGUCAGCCUGCUCUCUGCUCAGCUCUCACGGUGGCCCCCUUGCCCUCACUCCUCACCCUCAGGACCUUUGAGCAGGGAGCCAGGCAUAACUUCACUGUGUCCACCAAAAAGCAAAUCACAACAGCUAGCUUUCCGAGUGAUGUCCUUUAAGUGCCUUUUCUUUGCCUUGAGAUACAAGGAAGAAUGCCCACAUUCCUUGGAGAACAUCAAGACUCUCACCAGGAAAAUCUGGCUCCAGCUCCAGCUUCUUCAAACCUUUCCUGUCACCAACUGGGUGAGGGGUGAUGAGCCCUGCAAUUGGUUUUCUCUUCCUCUUUCUGAAAUCGAGCCUCAGGAUAUUGCACCUCGUUCUGGAAUAUGACAUCUGUCGAUUUGGAGGAUUAUCAAUAUAACAAAAAGGAAAAGACAUCCUCCUCCAUUCCCAUGGCAUAUGUGAGACCUAAGGAGAAGAUAGAAAUACAAGGAAAUAGUCAGAAUGCAGCGUGCAAAAGUAAGGAAGUAAAGAGUCAAUUUUGCAACCCACGUGUAGCAAGUUUGGGGGACCUUAUAGAAAAAAAGUGAAGAUAUUGUGCCAUAGAUUCCAUUGGUUUGGUCUGGUUUGAACAAGACAGCUCACAGCUCAGCGCCGGCGCGGAAAGCCAUGACGUCAGCCCCACGGACGGUGCUCACACGGUCUCCACCUGGCCACACAGAACACCCACGCAGUCUGAUCUGGCCCCAUUCAUGCUUGUGUCCUCUGAUUUUCCCGUUCUGCUCCUGUCCACUCUCUGCACGUAGCACCCUCGGUUUUCCUGGCUUAGAUUUGCAAGUUUUGAGACAUCAGUCCCUCUCACCUUUCAGCAUUUUCUGCUCCCGGCUGACGGGCCUGCCCAGCCACACAGAAAGGGAUGUUUGCUCAGGUGCAACCAGGAGCAGCUUCGUGAAGUUCCUUGAGUUGUCCCUGUAAACCGAAUCACAUAACAUGGUUCUGUUUCAAUGGAGGUCACUUCAACUUCUUCAAUAAUGGUCAGGCACAACUUAUGAUAUAUAAUUAUUCAAAGAAAACAUUUGUCACUGGGAUCUGGAGCCAAACGCUUUGGGACCAAUAUUUAUUUAUUUAAUAGGUACACACUAUUAUCUACACUAUUCACGGUGAUCGCAGGGUUUCCUUGAAUCUUCUUGAAUGUGUUUGCUGGAGAGAAUGUAUCACCCCAAAGGAAAGAUUUUUCAAGGAAAUGAUAGAGUCAAGGUUGCAAUACGAAUAAACCUCCCUAUAACUUUCUCUCUGUAUUAGGUCAUCCGUCACUAACAUUUUUCCUCUUAAC